UACGUAGGGUGCAAGCGUUGUCCGGAAUUAUUGGGCGUAAAGAGCUCGUAGGCGGUUUGUCGCGUCUGCUGUGAAAACUCGGGGCUCAACUCCGAGCUUGCAGUGGGUACGGGCAGACUAGAGUGCGGUAGGGGAGACUGGAAUUCCUGGUGUAGCGGUGGAAUGCGCAGAUAUCAGGAGGAACACCCGUGGCGAAAGCGGCUCUCUGGGACGGUACUGACGCUGAGACGCGAAAGCGUGGGGAGCAAACAGG
rnacentral:rRNA from 1 species